rnacentral:rRNA from 1 species
GACGAACGCUGGCGGCGUGCCUAAUACAUGCAAGUAGAACGCUGAAGGAGGAGCUUGCUUCUCUGGAUGAGUUGCGAACGGGUGAGUAACGCGUAGGUAACCUGCCUGGUAGCGGGGGAUAACUAUUGGAAACGAUAGCUAAUACCGCAUAAGAGUAGAUGUUGCAUGACAUUUGCUUAAAAGGUGCAAUUGUAUCACUACCAGAUGGACCUGCGUUGUAUUAGCUAGUUGGUGGGGUAAAGGCUCACCAAGGCGACGAUACUUAGCCGACCUGGGAGGGGGGUCGGCCAACAUGGGAAUGGGACACGGCCCAAACUCCUGCGGGGGGGAGCAGGAGGGGAACUUCGGCAAAGGACGGAAGGCUGGACGAGGAACGGCGGGUGAGGGAAGGAGGGUCUCGGGUCGUAAAGCUCUGUUGUAAGGGGAGAAAGAGUGUGGGAGUGGAAAGUUCACACUGUGACGGUAUCUAACCAGAAAGGGACGGCUAACUACGUG